rnacentral:siRNA from 1 species
AGCUUUGGUGAGAGCUUUAGGUU